GGAAAACAGAGGCUUUCAAACUGGGCCUCAACCUGACUGCCUUCUUGUUGACAGAGGGCAAGAGAAACACGAGCCAUUAGAUCUCCUUGGAUGUGGAGUUCAAAGGAUACAGGCUCCAGACAGUGCCUCUUUGGAACUCUAUACCUCUGCCUGCCAAAUGAUUCGAUGCCAAUUAUGAUGCAAUGAUAUUAUUCAUAUUUCAAUGACUCUUGGGAAGCUCUUCACCAGAGGAUAUUGUGACAUCAUAUCCCAAUGCCUCUUUUCUUGUGAAUAACUAGCUCUGCUAAGAAUAAGGCAUCCUGAAGAUAGAUACUAUGGUUGGAAGAGGAAACUGGGGGACCCUGGAUCUAGGAACUUGACUCAGCUGAACAGGAGCAUAAACCUGCAGAAGACUCAGAGGUGGAAGUGCCAAUCUUCAGGAUCACAAAGCCAAGCAGAAUCCCAAUCAAGAAGUUCCUAAAUUGCUGUAUAAGCAAAACAAAGCUGGACAAAGAGGUCUUAGGAUCCCGUGGGGAAUCCUGUGUGGGCCCUUGCGGGUGUCGGGCGACUCCGCUGGCAAGGUACCCUUGGGCUCGUGUCGCCACUGACAUCUAAGGGGAAGCAAUGAAAGAAGUGUUCUCUAUGUUCAACAAGGACAUGUUAUUUUGAAAUAUUUGUGUCAGAGGUUGGCUGACUCUUGAGGUGGCACCCUUGAAUAUGGAUGGCUAAAAUCAGCUGUGCUCUGGACCUUCUGAGUUCGAGGCCAGCCUGGUCUACAACGAAAAACCAGAAAAAAAAAUGCAGUUUGAAACAAUGAGAACAAUAGAUCAGGGGAGUUGAUGUGUGUACAGAAAACAGCAAUACUAUAUAGAGCUAAUCAACAACAACGACAAAAUUGUCUAUCCAAAGUGAUUGGUCAUGUCUUCACAUCCUUCAGGGGGUCAAAUGGAAAGUAGAAGCAGAAGAUGGAAUGUGGACAGCUCUUGGCAGCAAAGAGCAGAUGCUGAGAUGGUGCAGAAUGAGGGGUGCGUGCUGCAAACACGAAGGAACAGAACCCCAUGAACAACUUGAAUGUUCUUGAAGGAUUCUUCUUCACAGUUGCAGUGAGGAGGAAUCUCAUCCUGCUGACACCUCCCGUUUUGUGUUAUAAAAUCUAAAGCAGAAAGGAUCACUCACGAUGGCCUCUGCCUGAUGGGAUCUAUCCCAAAGCCCACCGACACGGAAGAGAAGCACAAAGGACAAGAAGUGACCCCAGGUGCCUUGCUUCCACUUUAUCCAUAUGCAUCUGCCAACAGUUAUGUAAGCAUAAAGGAAGCAUGAAGAAAAGGCGCCAUUUGAUCACUCAAGAUUCAUAUACUUCCAAAAUGACAUCACAAGCUUGGUGUCUGUAUCUUCACUGUGUCUAGUGUAUCUGAAUGUGCCUCCCCUUGUGUAUGCUCAGCACAGUGUUCUCUGUC
rnacentral:lncRNA from 1 species